GUGCCUUCUUCCUUUCCCUGUUUGGUUGCUGUUCAAGUCGUUCGAAUCUAUCAACAGUUCGGGAAUCUGUCCAUCCGUCUUUGACGUGGCAAGAGGCACGGAGAGGGCCAUGUCCCUGAAAACGGAGAUUCCCCAUCUGGCGGUUAUGACCAGUAGCCAACAACAGCUUGGUCUAACAUGGAGUCAUCAUCCAUAUCAGAAAAAGAAAUGACAGCACAUCCUCUGGCAUCUCCAGCAACACAGUCCACAUCUUCAUCAGCCUACCAAGAACAACAACGUAAGGAUGGAGGCGCGCGAGUAGACUUUCCUGCACUGCAGGGCCAGUCUAGGAUGGGCCUAGAUCCUUGAGAACGAUCCAGCAAGUGCCAGGAUUAUGGGCCAACGCAAGUUCAAAGGGAUCUCCUCCGGCAUCUUACAAAUUAUGGAUACAACCGGAUUUAGGAGGUAUUGAAUUUCACAGGCUGAGAUUUCCACUUGAUUACCUUAACAAUUCAUCAAUAAGACAUAAGCUUUGGGGGGGGGUGUUAAAAGGCAUUCUUCCCGUCCCCCCUUCCUUAAAAUCUUAGCUUCAGUACUGACAUUUGAAAGUUGCCAGGAGAAAGGUGGAUUUGAAUUGUCGGGUUUUGCUGAGUUUUGGACCUGCAUGAAAUUUCAUUGCAGUGUAUACGCUGCUGCGCUCGGAAGCUCCGUCCUCCCCAAGGGCAUCUCUGUCUUAAACACCCAAUUGCACGACACCAGAAGGAAAGAGAGCAGCUCAGGGUACAAUGUCUGCAUCCAUUGUGAAAGCCAAGAAGAUGUGGUUGGGGGGGGGCAUACACAAUGGGCGCCAUUUAGCAUGCACACGCGCGCACACACAGCUAUUGGGAAUUUUUGAAAGAAGCCCUUUCACUGAGGAGUACUUUAAGAAACAGACUCUUUGCUUGGAAGCUCCUUGGGGCAGGAACCUGGGAAAAGAACUAGUUUCAACGCCGACAAUGUAUUUAUGGAGUGCCGUUUACUUUCGGUCCCUUACGGUCUUAAAAUUUGACACAAGGGAGGAAGUAGCAAAGGGGAGGAGGAAUUUGCUUUCAUUUCAGGCGCACACGUUCAAGCUUAGCUAAACCUUUAAAUGGGUUCCUUUUGACGGGCCAGGAUAUGCCAGCAUCACCCAGGGUGUUUGGGCAUGACCUCCCGAAAACCACACAAUACUCAACUGCUUUCUGCUGUUUUAAAACUGUCUUAUCUGGAAGAGUUUCAGCUGAUGUGCUCGUGUGGACAGCAGAUCCACUAAUACUAGGACGAUCUGGGUGCUAAGCUUCACUCAGUUAUGAAAAUCAACGCCAGUCGGCCUAACCUACCUCGCAGGGUUGUUGUGGGAACAAGGGUGCAGCAGCUGAACCCUGCGUGCCACGCUGAGCAGCAUAAACAUGCAAUAGUCAUUGUGGAGACUCAAAGAUCCCCACCUGUGUAUGGCCCUUGUAGGCAGUCAGUUCAACCACACAAGCAGACUAGGCGGCCACCUAGGGUGGCAGAAAUUCAGGGGCAGUUGCCACACAAGGAGCAGUGGGUUUUCUGCCACUUCCAGAAUGGCUACCUUCCUGUAAGGACAUGGCCCAGAAUCCCUUGCAGAGGACUCCAGGGCGCACACUCAGUUUUUUGCAGGGAUAUUAGCUCCUGCUGUCGCCCCAGGCCGAAAGGAACCUGGAGCCAGACCAGAGUGUAGGAGAUGCUUGGCUCGGGCAACUUUGGGCGUGUUUGCCAUGUUUCCUCCUCCGUCCUGAGGCCAGCUGCAGGGGGAUUGGCCCCAGUCAAAGGAAGGACAGGCUGUGUCUAGUCUAUGCUGUAAAACAGAAAAUCGAAAUUUUGCACUCAGAAUAGAUUUCUGUGGUCUGCGUAACUGGGGUGGGGGCAUACAGAGUUACACUGGACAUCUCAAAGUCCACCCACCCACCAGUCCUGUGGCGACAUUCCUACCUAGCUUCUAGUAUUUCAGCAGGGAUAACUCACAUAUUUUCAAGCCCAUGUUUGCUUUUAUAAGGACUAGAAACCUGAUGAGCAGAUGGAGUGCUAUUGCUAUAAGGUGGUUGGUUGUAUUCACUUUGUUCUGCGCGCACAGUUAUUCACACAAAAGGGAAAAAUGGGAGUAUCUUAGGCCUUGACACUCUAAAAACGCUGUAUAAAUAUCCUGUCCUGUAACUAUAGGCACACUUUCAAGGCGUACACAUAGGUCUGUUCUCAUACAAAUAUCACAAGUAGCCCCAAUAAGACCUUGAAGAAACUUCUCUCUCUUAGACCUUCAGUUUUACACACACAAAGACACACAUUUGCUUUCGCAAAGAUUCAAAGACGUUGCCCUCACCUCUACAUCCAUGUGUGGAUGUUGUCUUUCUAAUUUUCUUUAUUCCCUCCUGCUAGGCUGUAUCUCUCAGGAUUGGCCUAACUUAUUCACGGACUGAAGGUGUUUUUUUUUUUUUAUUAAAGAAAGCUCCAAACUUUUGGGAUUCUUCUAGCAUCUUUACCUCUCCUCCCUUCUCCUUUUUUUCCCUCUAGGGCUGAACAGCUAAAAUGAUUAAGAUUGUUGUGAAACUCAGAGGC